ACUUUACAAUUUGGUUUUGUUGUAUAAAUUUUCAGUGUAACUUUAGCGAAAAAUAAUAUUGUUGGGUUGGGGCGACUAUUAUAUAAAUUUUUAAUAACUGUAAUUCAAAUUAAUAAAUUUACCUAGUUAAUUGAUCCUUUUUUAAAGAUUAAAAGAUUAAGUU
rnacentral:rRNA from 1 species